rnacentral:rRNA from 1 species
CAAGCGGUGGAGCAUGUGGUUUAAUUUCGACGCAACGCGAAGAACCUUACCAGGGCUUGACAUCCCCUGACCGCGUAUGAAAGUACGUUUUCACCUCGGGUGACAGGGAGACAGGUGGUGCAUGGUUGUCGUCAGCUCGUGUCGUGAGAUGUUGGGUUAAGUCCCGCAACGAGCGCAACCCCUAUCUCUAGUUGCCAGCGAUUCGGUCGGGGACUCUAGAGAUACUGCCCCGGUUAACGGGGAGGAAGGUGGGGAUGACGUCAAGUCCUCAUGGCCCUUAUGCCCAGGGCUACACACGUGCUACAAUGGGCGGUACAAAGGGUAGCGAUGCCGCGAGGCGAAGCCAAUCCCAAAAAGCCGUCCACAGUUCGGAUUGGAGUCUGCAACUCGACUCCAUGAAGCCGGAAUCGCUAGUAAUCGUGGAUCAGCAUGCCACGGUGAAUACGUUCCCGGGCCUU